AUGCGUGGGCAUCUCAUGUUCUUCACCUCUGCUUGGCAGCUCCAGAAGCCACUUGUUCUUGCUGUGAACAGUAAUGGGCAGACUGCAUUGAUGGUUGCUGUAAUUCAUGGGUUUCCUGAUAUUGUUACACAUACAGUUUCACUUUUGAGAGGUCAACAAGUUUUGGAAGAAGCUCUAUUGGUAGCCGAUGAUGCUGGAUACAAUGUGUUACAUCAUGCUAUAAGAUGUGGGUAUCAGGACCUAGCACUAAAGCUGAUUGGGGAAGCUCCCGAGUUGUCCAAAGCGAUAAGCAGAAUGGAUGAAUCACCAAUGUAUAUUGCCACACUCAAGAAUUACAAGGAAAUUUUUGAGCAGCUUAUCGUUAUUACAGACUCUGCUGACUGCGGUCAACAUGGCAACAAUGCCUUGCAUGCAGCUGUGAGAAAUGGAAAUGAAGACAUUGUGAAAACAAUCAUGGAGCAUCGCCCAUCGAUGGCAAAAGUUGAGGACAGUGUUGGGAUAUCUCCAGUGAGAUUGUCAGUGAUCACUUGUAGAACUGAGGUUCUUCGAGUAUUUCUGAAGACGGAUUUCUUGCUUGGGUAUGAAAUUAGCAAUGCAGGCCAACCUCUCCUUGUAUCAGCGGCUUCGCAUGGUGCAAUUGAUGUAGCUAAAGAGCUGCUCCUACAUUGCCCUGACGCUCCAUAUGAGAACAGUACCACUGGAGUGACCUGUCUUCACGAAGCUAUUGUUUCAGAGCACGAAGAGUUCUUAAACUUUAUUAUAUGUGCCCCGCAGCUGCGCGCUCUCAUCAACCUGCGUGACAAGGAGGGGAAGACAGCGCUUCAUCACGCUGUUCUCAAAUGCAGGCCUAAAUUGGUUGGAAGUAUAUUAUCCCACAAGGAUAUUGACAUUUCUAUACUUGAUGAGGAGGGUCACUCUGCCGCAUGGGAACUGAAGUAUGCGUACAGCGAGGCGAAAACACUCGAAUGGAAUGAGAUCUGCAUGCUUCUUUCAAAGGCUGAUCCUCGCGAUAGCUUCUCCAUCCAUUUUUUGCAAAAGGAAGCGAGGAUAAACGCAGUCAAUGCAUCUAGAUUGGAUUCAAAGUCAUUGAGCAAGACCUACACAAGUAAUACAGCGAUCAUUGCGACUCUUAUCGCCACUAUCACGUUUGCAGCCUUGUUCACGGUGCCCGGUGGCUAUAGCUCAGACCCGGGAAGCGCAGUAGCUUUUCUCUGUGUUCUUUAUCGUUGGGGCGACUACAGAUUCUUGGUGCAUUAUUUGGCUGUCACAAAGCUGCUAAUGUGGGUCUCGUAUGCGUUCACACUUGUAGCUUUCACUAUUGGGAUGUUCAUAUUGUUGGCGCCACAUCACUUGUGGUUGGCCAUUCUCAUUCUUUGCUGUGGAGCUCUUGUCCCGCUGGCGACAAAGAUUGUUGGUGAAUGGCCUGUUCUAAUGCUGAUGCUGAGAUCUCGGCUAGGUGGAGGCCCCAGCACCUACAGGGGUCAGCUCCUUGACAUUGUUUGA
rnacentral:rRNA from 1 species